GCAAUGGUGGUUCUGUGGUAGAAUUCUCACCUCUUAAGUGGGAGACCCAGGUUCAAUUCCCAGCCAGUGAA
rnacentral:tRNA from 1 species